rnacentral:rRNA from 1 species
GACGAACGCUGGCGGCGUGCCUAAUACAUGCAAGUCGAACGCAGUGGGGACGGGUGAGUAACAAGUGGGUAACCUCCCAUCAGAGGGGAUAACACUUGGAAACAGGUGCUAAACCGAUACUGAUGGAUGGACCCGCGGUGCAUUAGCGAGUUGGUGAGGUAACGGCUCACCAAGGCCACGAUGCAUAGCCGGCCGGAGAGGUGGAGCGGCCACACUGGGACUGAGACACGGCCCAGACUCCUACGGGAGGCAGCAGUGGGGAAUCUUGGGCAAUGGACGAAAGUCUGAUCGAGCAAUGCCGCGUGAGUGAAGAAGGUUUUCGGAUCGUAAAACGCUUUUGGUAGAGAAGCGGUAUCUAACCAGAAAGCCACGGCUAACUACGUGCCAACAGCCGCGGUAAUAC